rnacentral:lncRNA from 1 species
AUACAUGAAAGAAAAGGAUUAUGGCAAACACUAAAAAUAAAAGUAAAAGAAGUGAUGAAAAUCAGUUAUGAAAUAUAGAUUGGCAGAUUUGAGAUAAAUAAGAUACAUCAACCAAUGAAUAAAAGAUAAAUUUUGAUUAUUUUAUUAGCCAUGCAUUUUGUAAGAAAAAAAAUUUUAUUUUUCUACCAUUUCUCCACCAUCCU